rnacentral:rRNA from 1 species
AGAGCGAACGCUGGCGGCAUGCUUAACACAUGCAAGUCGCACGGGCAUUUCGGUGUCAGUGGCGGACGGGUGAGUAACGCGUAGGUAUCUAUCCUUGGGUGGGGGAUAACGGUUGGAAACGACUGCUAAUACCGCAUGAUAACUGAGGUUUAAAGGCGCAAGUCGCCUGGGGAGGAGCCUGCGUACGAUUAGCUUGUUGGUGGGGUAAAGGCCUACCAAGGCGACGAUCGUUAGCUGGUCUGAGAGGAUGAUCAGCCACAUUGGGACUGAGACACGGCCCAAACUCCUACGGGAGGCAGCAGUGGGAAUAUUGGACAAUGGGCGAAAGCCUGAUCCAGCAAUGCCGCGUGUGUGAAGAAGGUCUUCGGAUUGUAAAGCACUUUCGACAGGGACGAUGAUGACGGUACCUGUAGAAGAAGCCCCGGCUAACUUCGCGCCAGCAGCCGC